rnacentral:rRNA from 1 species
UACGGAGGGUGCGAGCGUUGUCCGGAAUCACUGGGCGUAAAGGGCGCGUAGGUGGCCUGUGGAAGUCUGCGGUGAAAGCCCGGCGCUCAACGCCGGGUCGGCCGUGGAUACUCUCGGGCUUGAGCUUACUAGAGGCAGAUGGAAUUCCGGGUGUAGCGGUGGAAUGCGUAGAGAUCCGGAAGAACACCGGUGGCGAAGGCGGUCUGCUGGGCCAAGACUGACGCUGAGGCGCGACAGCGUGGGGAGCAAACAGG